GUUGACCUCGGAUCAGGUAGGAAUACCCGCUGAACUUAAGCAUAUCAAUAAGCGGAGGAAAAGAAACCAACAGGGAU
rnacentral:rRNA from 1 species